GAAAAUUAACGGUCGAAAGUAACGAGUAGCCAGCCUGCCAUUAAAAUGUGACGUUUUAGAGAAAACGCUGGAAGCAUCAGUAGGUCAGGCUGCAUCUGGUGGAAGAGAAGCAGAGAGAAUGUUUCAGAAAUAUAAUGAAGCUGGAUCCAGCUUUCCAACCGUCCAUUCUGACAUUCUGCAUAGUACUGGUCGGGCUCUGGAUAGGUUGAUGUUGAGGCUGUGAAUCAGAACUGGAAAGCUGCAAUGAGUACAACAAGGCAUUUGACCAUACCUGACCACAGCAGGGGCAGAGGGAGGAGAUUUGCAGAUUCUUUAUUUAAAUGUGAGGAAGAGGAAAUCAAGAAGACAUGGACACAGUCCAGAUCCAGGACUACUUACUGAGUGGUUACAGGCAAGUACUCUGCUGGAGGAACUCAGUGGGUUGAGCAGCAGC